rnacentral:rRNA from 1 species
GCGAGUGAAGCGGGAAGAGCUCAAGAUAAGAAUUGAUACGGGUUAACUCCAGUACCAAAUUGUGAUCUUGCGACUCAGUACUAGGCUAGAAAGACAAGUAAAAGUAUGCUGGAACGCAUCGCCGUGGAAGGUUAAAGCCCUGUUCAUUGCUUGUUAAAUUAAAUCUGCCAGACGGUCUGGGUUCAUCGAGUCGCGUUGCUUGGGAGUGCAGCGCAAAGUGGGAGGUACAGAUCUUCUAAAGCUAAAUAUUGGCGAGAGACCGAUAGCGAACAAGUACCGUGAGGGAAAGAUGAAAAGCACUUUGGAAAGAGAGUUAAACAGUACGUGAAAUUGUUAAAAGGGAAACGAUUGAAGUCAGUCGUGUUUAUUGGAUUCAGCCGGUCUUCGGUGUACUUCCUUUAAACGGGUCAACAUCAGUUUUGUUCGGUGGAUAAAGGUAUUAGGAAUGUGGCUUCUUCGGAAGUGUUAUAGCCUAGUAUUGCAUACACUGGAGGAGACUGAGGACUGCAGCUCGCCUUUAUGGCCGGGGUUCGCCCACGUUCGAGCUUAGGA